rnacentral:ncRNA from 1 species
UUGCCGCAAAUGGGGUGCUCCAAUUUUUGGGGCUGAGAUGAUACCCGGGAACUUUGUUCCGCACCUGAUCCAGAUAAUGCUGGCGUAGGGAUUUUAAGGUUUUUACAA